AGUUCGGUGUGGCUCAGAUUAGACACUGGCGGGAUCAUUUUACACGCUUUAAGUCAGGCGGCAGCUGGACUUCGGUCUGGUGGCGGUGGCGAACAGAUGAUAAUGUAUCGGAACGUGCCUAAUGCGGGGAUAACUACGCGAAAGCGUGCUGUGCACUGUACUUCCCUUCGGAAAGCGGGGACCUUCGGGCCUCUUUUCUUGAAGCGGCCGAUAUCGUGGUUAACUGGUUGGUGGAGUAACGGCUCACCGGGCGGCAAUCAUAACUGGUUUGAAGGCAGCCAACCCACUGGUUAAUUACGCCCAGACUCACCGGGAGGCAGCAGUGAAAUUUUGGACAAUGACCACAGUCCAGCCAUCCCGCGUGUUACGAUGAAGGCUAUUCGGGUUGUAUAAGCACUUUUGGCGGGGAAAAACAGCACGGAUAAUACCCCGUACGGCUGACGUGCCACAAAUGGCGCCGGCUAACGUUGCCGGCGGCCGCCGUAUACGUGGGUGCAGCGUUACGUCAGGUUAUCGCGAAUAAGCGUGCGCGAGCGGUUCGAAGAAAGAUGUGAAAUCCCAGAGCUUAACUUUGGAACUGCAUUUUUUUAACUACGAAGCUAGAGUGUCAGAGGGAGGUUAUGCGAUUACCGAUAUGAUGCAAAUGCGUAGAUGUGGAAGGCACCGAUGGCGAAAGGCAACCUCCGCAGGAUAACACUGGCGCUCAUAAGCAAUGAGGCAAACAGGAUUGGAAGUACCCUGGUAGUCCACGCCUAAACAGUAUCCAACUGGCUGUUGGGGCCUUCGGGCCUUGGUAUGCGCAGCUAACGUAGAGUUGACCGCACCAGGAGUACGGUGCUGGGUCAAGCUCAAAGGAAUUGACGGGGACCCGCACAAGCGGUGGAUGAUGUGGAUUGGUAUGAUACGCGCAAGCCUUUACCUGGCAUAUGGAAUCCAAAAGAGAAGUUGCGGGAAUACUCGCAAGAGAACGGAACACAGGUGCUGCAUGGCUGUCGUCAGCUCGUGUCGUGAGAUGUUAGGUUAAGUCCCGCAACGAAGCGCAACCCUUGUCAUUAGUUGCUACGAAAGGGCACUCUAUAAUGAGACUGCCGGUGAUAAACCGGAGGAAGGUCGAGGAUGACGUCGAGAUCCUCAUGGCCAUAUGGGUAGAACUACACGUCUGCAAUGGUCGGGACAGAGAUUAAACCAACCCGCGAAGAGCCAAUCCCGAAACCCGAUCGUAGUCCGGAUCGCAGUCUGCAACUCGACCGUGAAGUCGAAUCGCUAAUGCUUGGAUCAACAAUCGCGGUGAAUACGUUCCGGGUCUUGUACACACCGCCCGUCACACCAUGGGAUGGGUUUGCAGAAGUAGUUAGCUAAACAACAAGGAGGGCGAUUACGGUAGGAUUCCUUAAUGGUGAAGUCGUAACAGGUAA
rnacentral:rRNA from 1 species